rnacentral:rRNA from 1 species
GAUCCUGGCUCAGGAUGAACGCUAGCUACAGGCUUAACACAUGCAAGUCGAGGGGCAGCAUGGUCUUANCUUGCUAAGGCCGAUGGCGACCGGCGCACGGGUGAGUAACACGUAUCCAACCUGCCGUCUACUCUUGGGCAGCCUUCUGAAAGGAAGAUUAAUACAAGAUGGCAUCAUGAGUCCGCAUGUUCACAUGAUUAAAGGUAUUCCGGUAGACGAUGGGGA